ensembl:lncRNA
CAGAGAUGAGAGGUUGGAAAUCCUGCUCAUCUCUCAUGUUGCUCAGCGCUCCAUUGCUCCAUGUCCUUUCCUACUGCUCAUCUCUCAUGUUGCUCAGCGCUCCAUGUCCUUUCCUACUGCUCAUCUCUCAUGUUGCUCAGCGCUCCAUUGCUCCAUGUCCUUUCCUACUGCUCAUCUCUCAUGUUGCUCAGUGCUCCAUGUCCUUUCCUACUGCUCAUCUCUCAUGUUGCUCAGCGCUCCAGUGCUCCAUGUCCUUUCCUACUGCUCAUCUCUCAUGUUGCUCAGUGCUCCAUGUCCUUUCCUACUGCUCAUCUCUCAUGUUGCUCAGCGCUCCA